rnacentral:rRNA from 1 species
GCCCUAGUGAAGGUGAAGCGCGAGCUUUGCUGAGCGGUUAGAAAAGCAAAUGUAGGUAUAAGUAACGAUAAGGCUGGUGAGAGACCAGCCCGCCGAUAGUCUAAGGUUUCCUGAUCAACGUUAAUCGGAUCAGGGUUAGUCGGGUCCUAAGUCGAAGCCGAAGGGCGUAGACGAUGGCCAAUUGGUUAAUAUUCCAAUACUAGUAUACAGUGCUAUGGGGUGACCCAGUAGUGAAAGAUCCGCGUACUGACGGAAGUACGUUAAAGACCGUAGAUAUAGGUUGCGUAGGUAAAUCCGCGCGAUUUGUCGAAAGUCGAUAGUACACUGAGUCUUCGGACAAGGUGAUAGUGAUCCUAAUCAGACUGGCAAGAAAAACCUCUAUGCUUCAGCUGUAUACUACCCGUACCGUAAACCGACACAGGUAGACAAGUAGAGUAUACUAAGGCGCUAGGGUGAGCCGUGGCUAAGGAACUAGGCAAAUUAACCCCGUAACUUCGAGAAAAGGGGUGCCCCCUUCGGGGGGCCGCAGAGAAAUGGGAGCGGCGACUGUUUAUCAAAAACACAUGGCUUUGCAAAAUCGAAAGAUGAAGUAUAAGGCCUGACACCUGCCCGGUGCUGGAAGGUUAAGAGGAGAGGUUAAUCGCAAGAUGAAGCUUUGAGUCGAAGCCCCAGUAAACGGCGGCCGUAACAAUAACGGUCCUAAGGUAGCGAAAUUCCUUGUCGGGUAAGUUCCGACCUGCACGAAUGGUGUAACGAUCGCUCCACUGUCUCAGCCACGAGCCCUGUGAAAUUGGAGUAACGGUGAAGAUACCGUUUACCCGCAACGGGACGGAAAGACCCCGUGCACCUUUACUAUAGCUUUACAUUGAACUUGGGUAAAUAAUGUGUAGGAUAGCUGGGAGACUUUGAAGUGGUGUCGCUAGGCAUCAUGGAGUCAACGUUGAAAUACCAGCCUUUGUUUACUUGAGUUCUAACUCCUCAUGGGAGGACAUUGUAUGGUGGGUAGUUUGACUGGGGUGGUCGCCUCCAAAAGAGUAUCGGAGGCUUUCAAAGGUACACUCAACACGCUUGGUAACCGUGUGUAGAGCGCAUUAGCAUAAGUGUGCUUGACUGUGAGGCCGACAAGCCGAGCAGGUACGAAAGUAGGAUAAAGUGAUCCGGUGGUUCCGCAUGGAAGGGCCAUCGCUCAUAGGAUAAAAGGUACGCCGGGAUAACAGGCUGAUCACUCCCAAGAGCUCACAUCGACGGAGUGGUUUGGCACCUCGAUGUCGGCUCGUCACAUCCUGGGGCUGGAGAAGGUCCCAAGGGUUCGGCUGUUCGCCGAUUAAAGUGGCACGCGAGCUGGGUUCAGAACGUCGUGAGACAGUUCGGUCCCUAUCUGUUGUGGGCGUAGGAGAUUUGAGGGGACCUAACUCUAGUACGAGAGGACCGAGUUGGACAUACCGCUAGUGUGCCUGUUGUGCCGCCAAGGUGCAGCGCAGGGUAGCUAUGUAUGGAUGAGAUAAGCGCUGAAAGCAUAUAAGUGCGAAGCUCGCCUCAAGAUGAGAUCUCCCUUAGGAGCCGUAACAGACUAUUACGUUGAUAGGCUACAGGUGUAAAGGCAGUAAUGUCACAGCCGAGUAGUACUAAUUGCAC